CUGUCCCUCUUUGUUUUUGUGGUUGGGGCCAUUCACUGCCCAUCCUUAGGUUAUUGUGGUCACGCCUGCUUGGUGCCUUUUCCUUGGGGUUCUUCCACUUCAGACCAUUUGCUGCCCCUCUUUGGGGCCGUUUCAGCUAUGAUGUGACCCCACACCCUAAGGGCAAGCAGCUGUUGUUGAUGGGUGAGGAUAAGGAGGUGGGAAAGGGUGACUGUCCCAGUUCUGCUUCCUGCAGAGCAGCACGGGGUGAGCACUCCUCAGGACUGCAUCUGUACCCCGUGCUGACUGCGCCGUACCCCGACUUGUUCCCCAGAUGACAAAGCACUGCUGCUUGGGGCGCUGUUUUUUGGGGAUGGCUGCAGGCAGCAGCAGCUGAGUGGGAGCUCGGACGGUCGCAGCGUUGAGGUUGAGCUCAGAGCUCAGCUUUGCUCUGCAACAAGGAGCCAGAGAGAUGAAUGCUGACUUCUUUAAAACUUUGUACUGUUAGAACCAGGGAAUGGCAUUGGUUGGAAGGGACCCAAGGACCAUCGAGCUCCGACCCCUUGCCACACGCAGGGCCACCAACCUUCGGAUCUGACACCAACCCAGGCUGCCCAGGGCCCCAUCCAAGCUGGCUUUGAAUACCUCCACGGAUGAGGCACCCACAGCCCCUCUGGGCGGCUGCUCCAGCACCUCCCCACUGUCUCUUUGAAGAACUUUCCCCUGAUACCCAAUCAAAACCUCCCCUCCUUAAGCUUAAGGUACUUGAUACUCUUUGGUGGGUACAUGAACCUGCUGGGCCGUGGCAAGAGCUGUGGGAGCACAGCCCACAUCUGGACCGUGCAACUUCUAGAACCUGUUGUUAAAGCCUGAGACAAUCCUGAAGCUCUUUGUUUCAGGAGCAGAGCUCAGCUGUCCUGGGUCAGCCGCGUCUGAUCGCGUCCUUCCUUGCACUGCUGGCACCAGUGUUGCGUGAGCUGCUGAUCUGCCUGGCAGCUGGGGAGCAGCAGGGCCUCCCCCCAGCAGUUCUCUGACCCUUUUCCUUCUUCACAUUGGUGUGGGCCAUGAAGCAGAAGCUGAGCCGUUGGUUUUCCUUGGGGUGAGGGAUGCUGCUGGGCAGCGGGCAGUGAGCACAGCGCUCUCCUGAGCCCCAUAGCACCCAUGAAAAUGAGUUCUGCCCUCUUGGGAUGGAGCACGAGCCGAAUCCUCGCCCCAUGUCUGUGUUUCUUGCUGUGCUGCUCGCACUUUUCUCAUUUCCUACCUCCCUUUUUCCUGUAUCUUUUUUGCUGGCCUGUGGUUAAUUCCUCUCAUUGAGUUUCCUCCGGCAGGAGGUGGAAGGAGCGGGCUGUAGGAGCAGGAAUACGAACCCGUAAGCGCCGUCAGGAAGGAGAGGUGCAUCAGCAGAAGGCAGGAAAGUAAAUGUGUGUGCAUAGACAUAACCUUCUAAUUCAGUUUCCUCGGAGGCCAGGCCUUCACACUCCGUGAUUCUUUGACACUCUUUUCGUAACCUGUGGGAACUCCUCUCACCUCUGCAGAUCCCAUUUCCCCCCGGCUGUGGGAGGCAAAGCGCUUCAGAGCAGUUUGUGGGCUCUCAUCAUCAUGGGGCGCUUUGGGUGGCGAUGGACCUUAAAGCCUGCCGGUUCCACAGGCAGGAACACCUCCCGUGGACUUGGCUUAAUUCGUCCUGCAGAGAUGAGCUCUGGAGCUGCAGAGAUGAGCUCUGGAGCUGCGUUUUGCGCAGGGCUCGUGGCUGUGGAUGCGUUUUCCUUGUUCAGAGUCAGUUCUUCCUCAAGAAGAGAGAGAGAGGGAUGGCACCCGGUGAAAUUCAGGGGGAGGCUGCCCCAAAGGGUUGGUUGUCAGCAGUCCCCACUGAUGUCAGUGAUGUGUCACUGAUGUCAGUGAUGGAGUGAAGUCCAGCUGGAGACCUGUUACAAGUGGUGUCCCCCAGGGGUCGGUACUGGGGCCCAUCCUGUUUAAUAUCUUCAUUGAUGACUUAGAUGAAGGGAUUGAGUGUACCCUGAGUAAGUUUGCAGAUGACACCAAGUUGGGAGGUUGUGUCGAUCUGCCUGAGGGCAGGGAGGCCCUGCAGAGGGAUCUAGGUAAGCUGGAUCGCUGGGCUGAGAUGAAUGGGAUGAGGUUGAACAAGGCCAAGUGUCGGGUUCUGCACUUUGGCCACAACAACCCCAUGCAGUUACAGGCUUGGGGAUGAGUGGUUGGAUGAGUGUGAAGAGGAAAGGGACCUUGGGGUGUUGGUUGAUGCUCGGCUGAACAGGAGCCCACAGUGUGCCCAAGUGGCCAAGAGGGCCAACGGCAUCCUGGCCUGCAUCAGAAACAGUGCUGCCAGCAGGAGCAGGGAGGUGAGCAUCCCCUGUACUCAGCACUGGUGAGGCCGCACCUCGAGUGCUGUGUUCAGUUUUGGGCCCCUCACUGCAAGAAAGACAUGGAGGCACUGGAGCGUGUUCAAAGGAGGGCAAUGAAAUGGUGAGGGGUCUGGAGCACAGGGCUGGUGAGGAGAGGCUGAAGGAGCUGGGAAUGUUCAGUGUGAGAAGAGGAGGCUCAGGGCAGACCUCAUUGCACUGUACAACCUCCUGAAGGCAGGUUGUGGUGCAAAAGGGCCUGGCCUCUUCUCCCAGGCAAAUAGUAGGACCCGAGGAAACGGCCACAAGUUGUACCAGAGGAGGUUUAGGUUGGACAUGAGGAGAAACUUCUUCUCUCAGAGGGUGGCCAGGCCCUGCAAUGGCUGCCCAGGGAGGUGGUGGAGUCGCCGUCCCUGGCAGCGUUCAAGAGGCACCUGGAUGAGGAGCUACAAGAGAUGGUUUAGUAGCUUGUGGCACUGAUAGCAAUGGGAGGGGGGUUGGACUGGAUGAUCUUGCAGGUCGUUUCCAGCCUUGUGAUUCUGUGAUUCUGUGAUUCUGUGAUUCUAUGUCAGCAGUCCCCACUGCCACCGAGCGCAGCCAAAACCGUUGGAUGGCUGAACAGGAGCUGAAGGAGGUUGGGAUUCCUUUUGGAUGAGCUCUGUGUGGAGCCGCUGCCCUCGGGAGCCCUGGUGCCGCUUUGCUGGGAGCUCUGGGGCCACUUAAUAGCGGCAGGUUCCUGGGUUCUGAGCAACACUUUCGGGAUACAAACAGCGUGGCUAAUUGAGGGCUAAUUGAUGGGUGAGGUUUGCUGACUUCACCUCCCUCCCCGAGGCGUGCGGAGGCCUCGUGCGGCAUCAGCAGCUGCCGGAGCGCGGAGCCGUGCCUGGCGGGGACGGAUUGUGGUGCUGAGCUGCUGCUUCCUUGUGUCUGACGUGGGCCGCGUGUCUCUCUGCGCGUUCUUCUGCUCAUCUGAGCUGCGGUGACUCGACCUGCAGGGCUGGGAGGGCGGCUGGGGGAAGCGGUGCUGCUGAAGUGGAGGCGGUUGGGUGCUGGGACAAACUGGGGAGCUCAGGAGGUGCUGUGGGGAAGGAGCCGUGUGGGUGCUCUGCAUUGAUGCCUUCUGCUGGUGCUGUGGGUUGGUAGGGGUUGUGCUGGCCCAGCAGGCAGCCCUGGGGGUCACAGUCUUUGUAGAGUCACAGAGUGGUUGGGUUGGAAGGGUCCUUGAAGAUCACAGAGCCAUGGAAUGGUUGGGUUGGAUUGGGUUAGAAGGGUCCCUGUAGAUGGUAGAGAGGUGGGAUGGUUGGGUUGGAAGAGUCCUUGAAGACCACAGAGCCAUGGAAUGAUUGGGUUGGAUUGGGUUAGAAGGGUUCCUGUAGAUCGUAGAGAGGUGGGAUGAUUGGGAUGGAAGGGUCCUUGAAGAUCACAGAGCCAUGGAAUGGUUGGGUUGGAUUGGGUUAGAAGGGUCCCUGUAGAUAGUAGAGAGGUGGGAUGGUUGGGUUGGAAGGGUCCUUGAAGAUCACAGAGCCAUAGAAUAGUUGGGGUGGAAGGGUCCUUGAAGAUCACAGAGCCACAGAAUAGUUGGGUUGCAAGGGUCCUUGAAGAUCACAGAGCCAUGGAAUGAUUGGGUUGGAUUGGGUUAGAAGAGUCCCUGUAGAUCAUAGAGAGGUGGGAUGGUUGGGUUGGAAGGGCCCUUGAAGAUCACAGAGCCACAGAAUAGUUGGUUUGGGAGGGUCCUUGAAGAUCACAGAGCCACAGAAUAGUUGGGUUGGAAGGGUCCUUGAAGAUCACAGAGCCAUGGAAUGAUUGGAUUGGAUUGGGUUAGAAGAGUCCCUGUAGAUCAUAGAGAGGUGGGAUAAUUGGGUUGGAAGCGUCCUUGAAGAUCACAGAGCCAUGGCAUGAUUGGGUUGGAUUGGGUUAGAAGGGUCCCUGUAGAUCGUAGAGAGGUGGGAUGGUUGGGUUGGAAGGGUCCUUGAAGAUCACAGAGCCAUGGAAUGAUUGGGUUGGAUUGGGUUAGAAGAGUCCCUGUAGAUCAUAGAGAGGUGGGAUGGUUGGGUUGGAAGGGUCCUUGAAGAUCACAGAGCCAUGGCAUGAUUGGGUUGGAAGGGUUCUUACAGAUCAUAGAGGGGUGGGAUGGUUGGGUUGCAAGGGUCCUUAAAGAUCAUAGAGCAAUGGAAUGAUUGAAUUAGAAGGAUCCUGGAAGGUCGUAGAAGCUUAGAAUGGAUUGCUGUGUACUGGAACGUCAUAGAGCCAUGGAAUGAUAGAAUGUAUUGGGUUGAAAUUAUUCUUAAGCAUCAUAGAGCUGUGGAAUGGUUGGGUUAGAAGGGUCCUUACAGAGCAUAGAGCCAUGGGAUCAUUGGCUUGGAAGAGACCUUAUGGAUCAUAGAGCUGUGGAAUGGCUGGGUUUGGAGGGUCCUUAUAGGUCAUAGAGCCAUGGGAUGGCUGGGUUUGGAGGGUCCUUAUAGGUCAUAGAGCCAUGGGAUGGCUGGGUUUGGAGGGUCCUUAUAGGUCAUAGAGCCAUGGGAUGGCUGGGUUUGGAGGGUCCUUAUAGGUCAUAGAGCUGUGGAAUGGCUGGGUUUGGAGGGUCCUUAUAGGUCAUAGAGCUGUGGGAUGGCUGGGUUUGGAGGGUCCUUAUAGGUCAUAGAGCUGUGGAAUGGCUGGGUUUGGAGGGUCCUUAUAGGUCAUAGAGCUGUGGAAUGGCUGGGUUUGGAGGGUCCUUAUAGGUCAUAGAGCCAUGGAAUGGCUGGGUUUGGAGGGUCCUUAAAGGUCAUAGAGCCGUGGGAUGGUUGGCUUGGAAGGGACCUCAGAGAUCAUAGAAGCACGGAGUGAUUUGAGUUGAAAGGUGCCUUUAGGAUUACAGAAUCAUGGAAUGGUUUGGGUUGGAAGGGACCUUUAAGAUCAGCUACUUCCAGCCCCCUACAAUAGGCAGGGACGUCUCCCACCAGACCAAGUUGCUCACGGUCCCAUCCAGCCUGGCCUUGGAUGUCUCCAUGGAGGGGACAUCCACAGCCUCACUGGGCUGCCUGUUCCAGUGUCUCCCCACCCUCAUGGUAAAGAAUUUCUCCUUAUGGUCUAGUCUAAAUCUCUUGCAGUUUAAAGCCAAUUGCUCUUGUUUCACCUUAUAAAAAGUCCCUGCCCAGCUUUCCUGUAGGCGCCCUUUAGGUAACAUAUGGAAUCAUAAAAACUUUGGGGAGAGCUGACCAAGGGGGAAGCAGCUGUUCCUCAGGCACUGCGUGUCAGUCGGUGAGCAGUGAGCGAAUGCAUCGUUUGGUAGAUAGAGACCUCUGUUGUUAUCACAGAAUGGCCUGGGUUACAAAGGCCCCAAUGCUCACCUGCUUCCAACCCCUGCUGUGUGCAGGUCGCCAACCAGCAGCCCAGGCUGCCCAGAGCCACAUCCAGCCUGGCCUCCAAUGCCUGCAGGGAUGGGGCAUCCACAGCCUCCUUGGGCAAGCUGAACCUCCUUGCGGGUACUAUUUUUCCUUUUUCUGCCUCAGGAAAUGGUUUUAUGGUCCGCCCUGAAGUUCUACUCUUUAUUUUUCCUUUGGGCUGAGCCUGGAGGAGCCGUGGCACUCGGCAUCCAGAGGAGCCCCUCCUGCCCUGUAGUUGGGAUGGAGGAAUGGCUGAGCUCAGGUUGGCAAUGUGUGCAUGUGUGCAGCGUGAUGGAGCUGCCGGCACAGGGCGCCCUGCUUUGUCAGCACAGCAGCAUGAAGGGCCCUGUGAGGGGCACAGGGGCUGCAGCAGGUCUGAGAAUGCAUGGCCAGGACAGCAGCCCCACGGCUCGGCCUGGUUUGCACCCAAAGGUGACCCAGAGAGAAGCCUGAGGUGCGCUGAUCUGCCGGCAGCGAUGCUCCUAUGUGCCAGCAUCAGGCAGCAAGCCUGUCUGUUCGUGCUCAGACAGUGGGUGGGAGCAGAGGACGUGAAAUAAGCAGAGGGCAUGAAAUAAGCCAGCAGCUCUUUUUGCUGAGCCAGGGAUGUGCCCAGGAAAUCGCUGAGUGCUGCUGCCGUCUGCCUGCAGUGAUCCCAGAGCAUCACCCUUGUGCUGCUCCAAAACGCUGCUGCAAACCCUGAGGCAAGAAAGCAGUGAGUUCUGGAGGCCAAGAGGGCCAACGGGACCCUGUGGUGCGUUGCCAGAGUGCAGCCAGCAGGGCAGGGAGGUGCUGCUCCCCUCUGCUCUGCCCUGCAGGCACUGCUGGAGUGCUGGGCUCCCAGUGCAGGGCAGACUGGGAAGUGCUGGGAGAGCCCAGCGGAGGGUGUGGGGAUGGGGGGGCCUGGAGCUCCUCCUGGUGGGGAUGGGCUGAGAGCCCCGGGGCUGUGCAGCUGGGGGAGAG